UCGCACCUACCGAUUGAAUGGUCCGGUGAAGCCUCGGGAUUGUGACUAGUUAUUGGUCGCGAGAACUUGUCUAAACCUUAUCAUUUAGAGGAAGGUG
rnacentral:rRNA from 1 species